rnacentral:rRNA from 1 species
GAAGAAAGAGGGAGGAGGGAAGAAGAAAGGAAAGGAGAGAGAAGAGGGGCUGGUGCUGGGAGAGGAAAAAGUUAGAGGCGAACGGGUGAGUAACACGUAAAGAAAGUGACGUAUAGACUGGGACAGCGAAAGGAAAUGAUAGGUAAUAAUGGAUAACAGCACUAACUGUAUGGUUGAUGUUUAAAAGUUGGUUUUGGUAACACUAUGCGAUGGCUUUGCGGUGUAUUAGCGAGUUGGUGGGGUAAAGGCUGAGCAAGGAGGCGAUGCAUAGCCGACCUGAGCAAAUACUCGGCCACACGGAGACUGAGACACGACCCAGACUCCUACGGGAGGCAGCAGUAGGGAAUCUUCCGCAAUGGGCGAAAGCCUGACGGAGCAACGCCGCGUGAGUGAAGAAGGAUUUCGGUUCUUAACUCUCUUUUUUUCUUUACGAAUGAUUGUGUAAUAACUAUACACAGUAGAGACUGUACCUAACCAAAAAGCCCCAGCUCCCUACGUG